UCUGACUNGAGUGCGGAAGGGGAGAGUGGAAUUCCAUGUGUAGCGGUGAAAUGCGUAGAUAUAUGGAGGAACACCAGUGGCGAAAGCGGCUCUCUGGUCUGUCACUGACGCUGAGGCUCGAAAGCGUGGGUAGCGAACAGGAUUAGAUACCCUGGUAGUCCACGCCGUAAACGAUGAGUGCUAGGUGUUAGGCCCUUUCCGGGGCUUAGUGCCGGAGCUAACGCAAUAAGCACUCCGCCUGGGGAGUACGACCGCAAGGUUGAAACUCAAAGGAAUUGACGGGGGCCCGCACAAGCGGUGGAGCAUGUGGUUUAAUUCGAAGCAACGCGAAGAACCUUACCAGGUCUUGACAUCCCGAUGCUAUUCUUAGAGAUAGGAAGUUAUUUCGGUACAUCGGAGACAGGUGGUGCAUGGUUGUCGUCAGCUCGCGUCGUGAGAUGUUGGGUUAAGUCCCGCAACGAGCGCAACCCUUAUUGUUAGUUGCCAUCAUUAAGUUGGGCACUCUAGCGAGACCGCCGGUAAUAAACCGGAGGAAGGUGGGGAUGACGUCAAAUCAUCAUGCCCCUUAUGACCUGGGCUACACACGUGCUACAAUGGUCGGUACAACGAGUUGCGAGCCGGUGACGGCAAGCUAAUCUCUGAAAGCCGAUCUCAGUUCGGAUUGGAGGCUGCAACUCGCCUCCAUGAAGUCGGAAUCGCUAGUAAUCGCGGAUCAGCACGCCGCGGUGAAUACGUUCCCGGGCCUUGUACACACCGCCCGUCACACCACGAGAGUUUGUAACACCCGAAGUCGGUGAGGUANCCUUUUAGGGGCC
rnacentral:rRNA from 1 species